rnacentral:rRNA from 1 species
GAUGAACGCUGGCGGCGUGCCUAAUACAUGCAAGUCGAGCGAACAGACGAGGAGCUUGCUCCUCUGACGUUAGCGGCGGACGGGUGAGUAACACGUGGAUAACCUACCUAUAAGACUGGGAUAACUUCGGGAAACCGGAGCUAAUACCGGAUAAUAUAUUGAACCGCAUGGUUCAAUAGUGAAAGACGGUUUUGCUGUCACUUAUAGAUGGAUCCGCGCCGCAUUAGCUAGUUGGUAAGGUAACGGCUUACCAAGGCAACGAUGCGUAGCCGACCUGAGAGGGUGAUCGGCCACACUGGAACUGAGACACGUUCCAGACUCCUACGGGAGGCAGCAGUAGGGAAUCUUCCGCAAUGGGCGAAAGCUUGACGGAGCAACGCCGCGUGAGUGAUGAAGGUCUUCGGAUCGUAAAACUCUGUUAUUAGGGAAGAACAAAUGUGUAAGUAACUAUGCACGUCUUGACGGUACCUAAUCAGAAAGCCACGGCUAACUACGUG